UCGAGAAUCUUCGGCAAUGGGCGAAAGCCUGACCGAGCGACGCCGCGUGCGGGAUGAAGGCCUUCGGGUUGUAAACCGCUGUCGUAGGGGAGGAAGGAUCUGCGAAGAGCAGAACUUGACCGAUCCUAGGAGGAAGGGCCGGCUAAUCUCGUGCCAGCAGCCGCGGUAAUACGAGAGGCCCAAACGUUAUUCGGAAUUACUGGGCUUAAAGAGUUCGUAGGCGGCUUGGAAAGUGGGGUGUGAAAGCCCU
rnacentral:rRNA from 1 species